CUCCUUUGACGUUAGCGGCGGACGGGUGAGUAACACGUGGGUAACCUACCUAUAAGACUGGGAUAACUUCGGGGAACCGGAGCUAAUACCGGAUAAUAUUUCGAACCGCAUGGUUCGAUAGUGAAAGGUGGUUUUGCUAUCACUUAUAGAUGGACCCGCGCCGUAUUAGCUAGUUGGUAAGGUAACGGCUUACCAAGGCGACGAUACGUAGCCGACCUGAGAGGGUGAUCGGCCACACUGGAACUGAGACACGGUCCAGACUCCUACGGGAGGCAGCAGGC
rnacentral:rRNA from 1 species